GGAAAGCCAGCGAUGUCAUGUGGACACUCAAGCAGUCCUCUGGAGUUAGCCACAUGGUGAAAAAUGGAGUCCUCCUGCCACCAGCCAAAAGAGACUUGCCAGCCGUGUGAGUGAGCCAGCCCAGACACUCCAGCCCCAGUUAAACCUUCGGAGGACUGCGGCCUCACCAACAUCUUGACUACAACUUCAUGAGAGACCCAGAGCUAGACCCAUGCAGCUAAGCUGUUCCCCAGUUCCUGGCCCACAGACACUGUGAGAGAUAAUAAAUGUGUAUUUCUGUUUGAAGCUGCUAAGUUUUGGGGUAAUUGGUUUGGCAGUAAUAGGUAACUGAUAGCAUUAGGAAACAUUAGCUAAUGCUAUCCAUGUUUUGCAAAUGAGAGAAUUGAGGCAUAAAAGUAACUUGCCCCAGGUCACACGCGCAACAGGUGGUUUAAACUAUGGCAGUUUGGAUCUGUGUAAAGCUCAGGUAGUAAAUUAGAAUCUCUCUUUUACAGGAAUCAGGACACUUUACCUGCUCAGAGGGAGGGGGAAAGAGACGGAGACACAAACACAGAGAGACAGUGACACGGAGAAGUGUGCCAUGGGCUCGCAAUACCGUGUGAAGGACUGGGGCUGCACCUGCUUAAAGUGAAGGCAGUGGAGAAGUGCAGUGAAGUGAAGUAUUUAGAAACGGAGCCACAGAGUUUGAGUUGCCCAAGUUCACAUAACUAGAAAGGAAUGCCUUUCCCCCGAUCUUCAUGGGUCAGGAUCCAUCUUGCCGUUCAGUGAAAUGUCACCUCCUCCAUGAGGCCUCACCUGAUCACCUUCUCUACAGUUACCCCAUUGCUUUCACAUCUGUCUGUUUUUCUCAUUGAAGUUAUGAU